rnacentral:ncRNA from 1 species
UAAGAUAAAGCCAAACCUUUUGAAAAGAAGGGACGGAAAGCCUAGAGUCUUUUAGAGAUAGUCGGGCUGCCUAAA